AGAGAGAGAAAUAGAGAAGAUGAGAGGGAGAGGGAGAGAGGAAGGGAGAAAACGAGAGAGAGAGGGAAGAUCGAGAGAAAGAGAGAAGGAGAGAGAAAAUGAUAAAGAGGGAAAUAUCAAGAGAGAGUGAGAGAGAAAAUCGAGAGUGAGAGGGAAAGAGAGACAGAAAAUGAGAGAGAGACGAGAGAGGGGAGGGACCGAGAGAGAGAGAGAGAAAAUGAGAGAGGGAAAAAGAGAGGAG
rnacentral:lncRNA from 1 species